UACUGUAAAGUAGUAAUUAUUAAAACUGGUGAGAAAAUUACGGCCAAGAUUAAUGUGUUCGAUUCUAGGCGCAUUGCGCUCAUGCGCAGUCGGCUGCUGAUCACUGGCAGUCAGUGUCUAAACGUCACACAGGCC
ensembl:ncRNA C05A9.4 ncRNA